AAAUCAGUUAUCGUUUAUUUGACAGUGCCUUUCCUACUUGGAUAACCGUGGUAAUUCUAGAGCUAAUACAUGCUGAAAAUCCCGACUUCGGAAGGGAUGCAUUUAUUGGAUACAGAACCAAUGCCCUCCGGGGCUCACUGGUGAAUCACAAUAACUCCGCGGAUCGCACGGCCUUGCGCCGGCGAUGGUUCAUUCAAAUUUCUGCCCUAUCAACUUUCGACGGCUGGGUCUUGGCCAGCCGUGGUGACAACGGGUAACGGAGGGUUAGGGCUUGACACCGGAGAAGGAGCCUGAGAGACGGCUACUACAUCCAAGGAAGGCAGCAGGCGCGCAAAUUACCCAAUCCCGAUUCGGGGAGGUAGUGACGAAAAAUACUGAUCCAGGGCUCUUUUGGGUCUUGGAAUUGGAAUGAGUACAAUUUAAAUCCCUUAACGAGGAACAAUUGGAGGGCAAGUCUGGUGCCAGCAGCCGCGGUAAUUCCAGCUCCAAUAGCGUAUAUUAAAGUUGUUGAGGUUAAAAAGCUCGUAGUUGAACCUUGGCCCUGGCUGGCCGGUCCGCCUCACCGCGAGCACUGGUCCGGCCGGGGCUUUCCCUCUGGGGAUCCUCAUGCCCUUCACUGGGUGUGCUGGGGAACCAGGACUUUUACUGUGAAUAAAUCAGAUCGCUCAAAGAAGGCUCUCGCUCGAAUGCUUCAGCAUGGAAUAAUGAAAUAGGACGUGCGGUUCUAUUUUGUUGGUUUCUAGGACCGCCGUAAUGAUUAAUAGGGACAGUCGGGGGCAUCAGUAUUCAAUUGUCAGAGGUGAAAUUCUUGGAUCAAUUGAAGACUAACUACUGCGAAAGCAUUUGCCAAGGAUGUUUUCAUUAAUCAGGAACGAAAGUUAGGGGAUCGAAGACGAUCAGAUACCGUCGUAGUCUUAACCAUAAACUAUGCCGAUUAGGGAUCGGACGCUGUUAUUUUUU
rnacentral:rRNA from 1 species